GUGACCUCAAAUCAGGUAGGACUACCCGCUGAACUUAAGCAUAUCAAUUAGCGGAGGAAAAGAAACUAACCAGGAUUCCCC
rnacentral:rRNA from 1 species